CUCCCCUUUCUCUUUCUCUCCUUUCUCCCCUAGCCCCGCACCUCCUCCACCUGUCACUUUCUUUUCCUCUCUAACCUUGGGUCUGUCCUCUCUUUAUGGAGACAUAGGACAUGAUCAACUGUGGUUCUAACCACUGGAGACCAGAACCCCGGGUCCCAAAGGCUGGGGGUGGAACUGGCUGCAGGCCCGGGACGAGCUAGGGGCGGAGGGCACCCUGGUCGCUUGGGGCGUGCCUCACACACCCUUGGCCUCUUUCUCUUUCCCCAUCUGCCCUGGCCUCGACCCUCGCACGCUGCAUCCUGCGGGCUGGAGCCUGCCGGCCCACACCUCCCCGCCCUCGCGCCCCGGCGGGGGGGUCCAGGAUCCUGCCCCAGAGACCCCUGCCCAACACCCCAAGCUGCAGAGAGCGAGAGUAAUCCUGGAACAGAGCGAAGAGGAGGAGAAGUGGAUGGUGACGGAGCCAAAGAGGGUCAGUGUGGCUGCCUCCGCCUUGCCCCUGCCCUCCCUGCGGACAUGAUGAUGAUGGAUCCACGCCCCAUUGGAACCCCACCACAGUGUGUCAUUGGAGCGACUCCACCCAAAUAAUAAAAUCUGUGGUACUUGUUCAGCGUACCAUC